rnacentral:rRNA from 1 species
AUGGCAGAAGCUUCAAAGUUUAUUACCAUUAUGCAACUAUUCAGCGACUGGGAAAUCCAUGUAUUGAUUCUCUUGAGCUUUUGCCUGCAACUAUUCCUCUUCUUCUCCGGCAGCCUUCGGCGCCGCCACGACCAUAGGCUGCUUAGGAUCAUGACAUGGUUGUCUUACCUAUCAGCUGAUUUCACUGCAGCAUAUGCUCUGGGCCUUCUUUCACGCGAGGUUGCUACCACUUCCACUAUAGACAACAAUGAUGAUCAUCAUAAAUCAGUGCCCAGUGAAACCCCUCAUCAGCUCAUGGUAUUGUGGGCACCAUUCCUUCUUAUCCAUCUUGGAGGACAGGACACUGUGACUGCUUUUUCAUUGGAGGACAAUGAGCUGUGGUUGAGGCACCUGCUGAUGCUGCUAGGCCAAGCAUGCCUAGUUGUCUAUGUGCUGUGGAAAUGGGUGACAUUGUCAUACUACCAACUUUUAAUCUCGGCUGCAUUGUUGUUCGUUGAUGGGAUCAUCAAGUAUGGGGAGAGGAUUUGGGCACUCAAGUUGGGGAGUCAGGAAGGCCUCAGGAGUUCCACUAGCACAGAAGCUAAGAAAGCAUCCCUUCAAUUUGGACUAGGAUUCAGUACUGAAAGAAAAGAGCAGACCUAUCAAGAAAUUGUUAGGUAUGCUCUUCUCAGGGAGCGAGGCGUGCGGGAUAUAUUUGCUGGACGGAAACUCUUCGACAUGGACGAUUUAACUCGCGAGUACUUUCUGUAUCAAUACGAUCGGGAGGUUCCGAGAGGGGAUGCCCAACUGAAUUUCAAGAGGGCGGAGAUCGAGCUUAGCAUAAUGUAUGACAGCCUCUACACAAAAUCUCGGGUGAUUCAAACAAGGUCUGGCGCCAUCCUUCGGUGUGUCUCCUUCGCCUCCAUAGUGGUUGCCUUUGUGUUCUACGUCAAGUUGAUGGUGAGUAGUAGUGCCUAUGCCGAGCAAACACCAGCAGUACACAACAGCGUCGAGUACAGAAGAAGUAAAGUUGAUGUUGCCAUCACCUACAUAUUAUUCAUUGGAGCAGUUUGCUUGGAAGCUUGCUCAUUCUUCGUUGUGAUGAUCAUGUCACCGUUGGAGUGGCCAUUGUUGGAAGCUCGAGCUGGAUGGUGUCGUGUGCUGCUCACUCGAGUGGCCUGGCCUAUGUUCAUGAGGAUCCAACCAGAGACCAAGCCGUGGUGGUCAAACUCAAUGGGACAGUACAACUUCUUGAGCUCCUGCUGCAACAAAAGCAGAAGCACGGACAGAAGGUGGAGUAGCACCGUCAUCAUGUCAAAGAUGGCAGGCGUAUUUGGAGCUAGUGAGCUGUGGAACAAGAUAAGCAACACCAAGCAUGCCCACGUCACAAGGGAGAUGAAGGAGCUUAUCCACGAAACAAUAGGCCAUGAUAGGGGGUGGCUUCCUGAGCGCAUCUGCGUUCCAAGUGCUUAUAGAUCACUACUUGUCCUCCCCUUCGAGAAGGCCUUGCUGUCGCUACACAUUUGGACAGAUGUGGUGAUGCACAAGGUGGCGAAGUCGGUGAUGGUUAGCAGCAGUGGUCGGCUCCCGAUUGACAUGGCCGCCCAAGAGCAAGACCAAGAGGCAGCACAGCGGUGGCGGCGUCUUAUGGAUAACUGCAAGAGGCUAUCUGAGUACAUGUUGUACCUGCUGGUGGCGCAACCUGCCAUGCUACCUGUGAGCAGCAACGUGCAGGAUUUUAUGGUAGCAGCGGCUGCCUCAGACUGGUCCAGGGGUGCCUCCUCCAACAGAAAGGUGCAGGAUUUUAUGGUAGCAGCCGAUGUUGCCUCCAGAAAGGAGAAUUUUCUUGAGUGGUUGCCUUCAGAAUAUGAGGGUCCUGGUCUGGGCUUCUGGGAGGAGCAAAGGGUGGUGCUAGAAAAUCAACAGGGCAUCAAUGCCGAGCUGGCGAUACUAGAGAAGGUGUGGGUGCGGAUGCUCGUCUAUGCAGCCGGAAAGUCCCGCCCGGAAGAGCAUGCCCGGCGCCUGAGCACUGGGGGAGAGCUCAUUACCUUCGUUUGGCUGCUGAUGGCGCAUCGGCGUACUGGUGACGUGGAGCGCAGUAUCAGCCUUAUCAAAGAUGAUUUCAGCGCAGGACAUCUUUUCGAGCUAUCUACUGCUAGCAUACCAUACUGCAGGCAAAUUGAGAUGGAGGAGUCAAUUACUACUUGA